rnacentral:rRNA from 1 species
AACGAACGCUGGCGGCAUGCCUAACACAUGCAAGUCGAACGAGACCUUCGGGUCUAGUGGCGCACGGGUGCGUAACGCGUGGGAAUCUGCCCUUGGGUUCGGAAUAACAGUUGGAAACGACUGCUAAUACCGGAUGAUGUCUUCGGACCAAAGAUUUAUCGCCCAGGGAUGAGCCCGCGUAGGAUUAGCUUGUUGGUGAGGUAAAGGCUCACCAAGGCGACGAUCCUUAGCUGGUCUGAGAGGAUGAUCAGCCACACUGGGACUGAGACACGGCCCAGACUCCUACGGGAGGCAGCAGUGGGGAAUAUUGGACAAUGGGCGAAAGCCUGAUCCAGCAAUGCCGCGUGAGUGAUGAAGGCCUUAGGGUUGUAAAGCUCUUUUACCCGGGAUGAUAAUGACAGUACCGGGAGAAUAAGCCCCGGCUAACUCCGUGCCAGCCGCCGCCGUAAAAC